AGAUCUAUAUUUUUUUUUACUAUUUCAUCAGACUUCGAAAUGCAGUUGCGAUGCCCUAAAAGUGGGUUUCCUCGGUGUACGCAAGGUGUCUGACCACACAGUGCUUGUUAAGUGGAAUGUGCCGCGGAAACUCGACAAGGUUCAUGGAUAUGAGUUACUGGUAGAUGGGCGGGCAGUACAAAAAAUCCUCAGCCCGACCAAAUCCAUGGCCGUUGUGACGUGCUUACCGCAUACCGAUAAAGUGUUGUUAACUAUUCGUACCAUUACCUCCAGCGUGUUUGUAACAGGACACUAUCCCGCCACAACCAUUGUCUACCAACCCCGAGCUAAAUAAACAAUUUUAUGAACUUA